AUUGAACGCUGGCGGCAGGCCUAACACAUGCAAGUCGAACGAGCGGCGGACGGGUGAGUAAUGCUUGGGAAUCUAGCUUAUGGAGGGGGAUAACUACGGGAAACUGUAGCUAAUACCGCGUACCAUAGGAUGAGCCCAUAUGGGAUUAGUGAGUUGGUGGGGUAAAGGCUCACCAAGGCGACGAUCUCUAGCUGGUCUGAGAGGAUGACCAGCCACAAUGGGACUGAGACACGGCCCAGACUCCUACGGGAGGCAGCAGUGGGGAAUAUUGCACAAUGGGGGCAACCUGACGCAGCCAUGCCGCGUGAAUGAAGAAGGCCUUAGGGUUGUAAAGUACUUUCGGUGGGGAGGCGUUAACCACAGAAGAAGCACCGGCUAACUCCGUGCCAGCAGCCGCGGUAAUUC
rnacentral:rRNA from 1 species